rnacentral:rRNA from 1 species
UACGGAGGGUGCGAGCGUUGUUCGGAAUCACUGGGCGUAAAGCGCGUGUAGGCGGCUUUGUAAGUUUGGUGUGAAAGCCCGGGGCUUACCCCCGGCAGUGCACUGGAUACUGCAAGGCUCGAGUACGGGAGAGGAAAGUGGAAGUCCUGGUGUAGCGGUGAAAUGCGUAGAUAUAAGGAGGAACACCAGUGGCGAAGGCGGCUUUCUGGACGGAUACUGACGCUGAGACGCGAAAGCGUGGGGAGCAAACAGG